rnacentral:rRNA from 1 species
UACGUAGGGAGCAAGCGUUGUCCGGAAUCAUUGGGCGUAAAGCGCGCGUAGGUGGCCUCAUAAGUCCGCUGUGAAAGUCAAAGGCUCAACCUUUGAAAGCCGGUGGAUACUGUGAGGCUAGAGUACGGAAGAGGCGAGUGGAAUUCCUGGUGUAGCGGUGGAAUGCGCAGAUAUCAGGAGGAACACCAAUAGCGAAGGCAGCUCGCUGGGACGUUACUGACGCUGAGGAGCGAAAGCAUGGGGAGCGAACAGG